AGACUGUGUUGGACUAUAUUUGUCUCAACUUUGCUGACCAUUUGCUAGCCUCAGCAUCCUGUUGCUGUGGGGAGUACGUGCUGAAGGCCCUGAAGAAACCACCAUAUCCGCCUGAAGCUACCAGUCUCUGUGGAAAUGGCUGGACUCUUUGGAAAAACUGUGUACUCCUCCCUCGAAAAAGGAACUGCAAGGGACUGGAAAAAGGAACUGAAAGGAACUGCAAGGGAUUGAUAAUCAGCGCUUGGAACUGGGACUUGUCAUCGUCUGUCUGCUGCAACCUGGAACUUGGACCCCCAUCACCUGCACUGAGACCGAGCCAACAGGACGUUGCUGGCUUUGUGGUGGUGGUAACUAGUCUUGCUCCAUCGCUUCCGUUCUCUUGCUUAGGUCUGCCUCUUUUUCCUUUCUUCUUCCCUCUGUUCAUCGCAGAUAUUGGUUAUUCUAG